rnacentral:rRNA from 1 species
GACGAACGCUGGCGGCGUGCUUAACACAUGCAAGUCGAACGGUAAGGCCCUUCGGGGUACACGAGUGGCGAACGGGUGAGUAACACGUGGGUGAUCAGCCCUGCACUUCGGGAUAAGCCUGGGAAACUGGGUCUAAUACCGGAUAGGACCACUGCCUGCAUGGGUGGUGGUGGAAAGCUUUUGCGGUGUGGGAUGGGCCCGCGGCCUAUCAGCUUGUUGGUGGGGUGAUGGCCUACCAAGGCGACGACGGGUAGCCGGCCUGAGAGGGUGACCGGCCAGACUGGGACUGAGAUACGGCCCAGACUCCUACGGGAGGCAGCAGUGGGGAAUAUUGCACAAUGGGCGCAAGCCUGAUGCAGCGACGCCGCGUGAGGGAUGACGGCCUUCGGGUUGUAAACCUCUUUCAGCACCGACGAAGCGCAAGUGACGGUAGGUGCAGAAGAAGGACCGGCCAACUACGUGCCAGCCGCCGCCGCGG